rnacentral:rRNA from 1 species
CCUUUUAGUUUGAGCCCCAAUAAGUACAAACCCGGCAUGCUUUGACCUCAUAUGUGACCUGGAUAAUAAAGCGGGAUGGAAGAGCUCCGGGGCUCGCGCCUGUGGGGGUUUAGGGGCCUUGGGAUCACUUCUCUUCCGAGCUCAAGCUGUACCUCUGCUGCUCGCUCAGGUGGCGGUUGAGGUGGCAUUGCUCGCGCUGCCGGCUGCCUCCGUGUCUCGCACUCGUUCUCGUGCCGUUACCGCGCCGACGGCGGGGACGGCACCACGUCGUACUCCUCCUCCCCCUUCUCAACUAGCCAGGCCCGGGGCGCGGCCGCGCCGUCGCCGUCUUCGCGGGCGAGGUCAAGCUCGUCCGAAAGGAGCUGCGGGAGGGGAGGCGGCGGUACAUGCUCUUCUCAAUAUACGUGUCCCUGCAGCAGUGCGUGCAGCGGCAAAGGGGGCGACUGAAGAAGUAAUGGCCCUCGCGUCUACCUGUAGACUUUAAGACCUUCUUCUUCGGGUCACCUUAGCUUAAACGAUUUGUAAAAGCCAGAGUAGAGUCAGGGUAGCUUCCGAAUCGACAGUCACAACUACCGAAUGAAACGACGUGCUAGAGAUUGCUGGCCAGACAGUUCUAUAUACUACAACAUUUGAUACUGUACUACAAGUACUACGCGGAGGGCAAACAGGGACCCCGCUAACUCACCCAAAUAGCCGUCCCACUACAAUUUGGCUUUGAACGACAAUCACUGGCCUUAUGUAGAAGACAAGUGUAUAUACUGUGAGUAAGACCAAGUUUACUAGGGUAGUAGAGGUUUCUCUAAGUACGACCGGGACAUUUUUAAUACUUUAUAUUGGUACGGGUCCUACAACACUAUAGACGACUACGGUUUCCUGAGAACCUCAUAACCAGAGGUAGGUGGGAAUUCAAAGGUCUCCUACGCCACUUAAAAGCAAAUUUUUGUCUAUGUUUAGAUAAACUUGAACGUUUUACGUUCUGAUCACACAGACGGUAACUCCACUCGUUACUACCGUGAGUUAAACACCAGUGUAGGGGACUGGCGUCCUAUUCCCAUAAAACCAAGUUUUGACCAUUUAAUUCUGCACACAUACUACUCAGGGAACUCCACCGUGUUCUAGAAGUCUUUUCACUACAAGCCAACAUAGUAGAACUACGAUAACUAAAACCCUCUUCUUACCGACAGCUCUUCCUUUAUCUUUUCUGUCUUUUACAAGGAGUUGGAUUACGGCAUAAGCUACUCUCGACGUUGAAGGAAUAAAUACGGUGGGAAAACCCGUAUUUCCAACAUUUAAACGUGUGUUUAUUCCAAGGAGCAUAGGACCCCUUCCAUCUCUUGUUACUCUCCAAAGACUCUUAACGAGAUAUGGUUCCGCUGUUUCCGUUGUUCUUCCAAUCCUUUUAAGGAAGUUAUCGACGAUUACAGUUACUGUGCUUCCUCGGAAAUAGUCUGGGAUGAGAUAAUACAACACGGAAGUUCUUUGUGGCCUAUAUAUGGAAAUCGGCAUCUCUUGGACUUCUCGGACUUCUACGGUGAUUCCCAUCCCUACAAAAGUUACUUUUUGGGGGUGGUCUUCUUGAAAACAGACAUAGUCUUAAUCCCUUCUGACGAUGCUGUAGUGAUGGACUGUUAAACCACAAAGUAUGAAGUUACCCACUAUAAGUGAACUCUGACAUAGGUCUUCUCACAGGUUUUUGACACCUUUUAAAGUGAUGAGUGACGGCUUUACCAAUAAUACUAUUAGAGUAUAAAGUAGCGCAUUAAUUUCCUAAGUACCAGGUCUGACCCCUAGGAAACCCCCUACCAUGACCACCCGUUAGUUAGACCCCGUCCCUCAAACUUCUACUUAAAGUGUUCUCGAACUCUGUACUGUCCGGUAAAUGUGAAAGUUACCGAUUGCGCCCUGGUUUAUGAUUACCAAGAGUUAAGAAAUAGUGGUGACACCGUUGAGGUACCGAUCUAUUGUUUGUAUGUCACAAACCAUCUCAACACUUUCCCUACCUACAACAAGUCGUUUAACUCUUCCAGUUCUGGCUGUUUUUACUGUUCGGCAUGGUCCUACACUUCUAGAACUUACAAUGUCAAGGGUUCUGUAUUCGAGGGUAAAUUAGUUAACCCAACGAUGUAGUGCCCGACAUACUACUAAACGACUGGACAAAAUGCUAUUUACGCGAGAGGAGUUAAGAGGGUCUUCUCCUCUCCACAACAAAAGACGACACCACGAACCUCAAACCGGAACAAGUGGUCUCCCUCGUCCUGGUUCAGAACCCAUUACAGACGUCAUCCUCACUCGGAAACUUGCUCUUCGUACCUAGUUUUCGUUUGGUAUUGUAAAAAGAGACAGCUGUCUUAAGAGAGGGUUUCAAUCAUCCCCUUUCGAUUGUCUACAAAGGUUAAAAAAGUGCCCAAUUGGAACAUUGAACUACUCUUACCAAUCACCUUUUACAAACUAUGAUGGAGACAAAGUCAAAUGUUCAGGACGCGCAUAUAGAUCCAACAGUUAAAAUAGUAGGAUUAUAUUUGAUAUAUUGUAUUUUUAAUAUAGAAAAUUUUCAUUUUUGAGGUUUCAAAUACAACCAUAUAAAAAACAUUAUAUACUAAACAUAAUCCAACCAGUUUAACUGCUGGAUCCCCAUGCGCGUGCGGGACAUUUGACUUUCUCUCCAUCAUGAUCAUUAUUCAACGGAAAUGACAUAAAUAUAAAUAACGAACUGCACUCCUAACAACGAACUGCUACGUAACCAGUGGCCGCCCGUGGUCCAGCUGGCUGCAACUGCCGACUUUCACUUAACUACCACCG